rnacentral:misc_RNA from 1 species
AAACCCAAACAAGCCAAUUUUGGCAGCCACCCAACUCAUCCUCCGCACUCCGCUCCUCUCCCUUCCCAUAAUCUUCACUUCACUUUCUUCUCAAUGCACAUCAACCACCACUAACCUUUCACUUCGUUCUUAAAAAAUGUGGCAACUUCUCCUCGCUGCAGCAGUAGCAGGAUCUACUACUUUCGUAGCUAAGCACUUGUUUGCCCAGGAACGUCCUAGAGAGGACGAAAACCCUUUUCAAGCUUCCAUUGCUUCUGCAUUUGAUUCUCCUUUACUUUCAAACCAUGGUAAUGAAUCUGGAUACGAGAGUAAUAUCGAGCAGCCACCUGACGGGAUCUUUAGGUUUUCGAGUUCUACUUCUUCGUCAAGUGGCAAGAAAACUAGGAUUUUGAGGAAGAAAUCCAGGAUCACGGGUCGCCGAUUGAAAUUUGGUGCUGAAAAUGACAAGGUUGAUAAAAGAUCUGAUGGUUCCGAGAAGAGUGCAAAGCGAUUUGCUGUUUGCUUGAAGAAGAGGAGAACUGCCAAGAGUGUGCCUUCCAAGUGUGGAUCCUGUUCUUCUAAAGAUAGCUCUUUGUUUGGUUGUGGACUUGGAAUUGGAAUCAUGUACAUGAUGUCAGCUGGGAAAGCUGAGAUCAGUAAGCUAAGCCAUGCCAUGGACAAGACUUCAAAAAUUGUUCAGGAAUUAAGAACUGAUCUGUAUAAAAGAAAAACAGCCCAAGUUGCUGCAAGCACAAAAGAUUUAAUAAGUAAGAAUGAUCUUAUUUAUUAUAGAUCAGGUACAGGGCAUAAUAAUGACCCAAAAGAUGUCAAAGUGUCUGGGAUCCCAAUGAUUGAUGAUGUUGAAUGCCCAAGUAGUGUUCUUACAGAAGAGCCAGAGCCACAGCAGCUGGAAAUGGAUCAACUCGAAGCAGAGCUUGCAUCUGAACUACAAAAACUUCCAUGGUCCUAUAAUGAAGCUUCUGAACAUGAAGGAUUUAGGUUGCCAAAUAUGGACAAGAAUGAGGGUUCGUCUGGCGGGCUUCAUGAACUGGAGGGUCAAAGCAGUAUUUCUUACCAAUGCCAUGGAGUCUUGCCAUCUGAACUGGAUCAGAAACUGUCUCGUUUGCUCAUUGAACAACAGGAAAACCAAAUUGAGGAGCUAGAAUCCGAAUUACAUUCUGCACAAUCCAAACUCCAUGAGAAGGAAGCUGAACUCCAAGCACUAAAGGACUGCGUAAAACGCCUUAAUGAAUUCUCUCUAUCAAAUAUAUCAGGCAAGUUUUUCUGCCUCCAUCCACUUAAGAUUGUACGCUUAUGAGAUAAUAUUCUUGAAAGAAAGCAACAACUCAACUAUUGGUUUUUGCAUGAGUUGGUAUUACCAUGCGCUAACAAAUAGGCUUGUUAUGUGAAAUGCCUCUCUUUGAACAUAAGCAUUGUUUGUCAGAUGAUGAAGUUGUGACACAUGCUGAGCAAGAGUGCACCAGUGAAUGGGAUAACGAGAGCAACAUGGGAUCUGAGCCAAGGAAAUCGGUGGUGGGGAUGAAAAGGCCUAUAGAAUAAAGACUGCAUAAUUCGGUUAUUAACCUAUUUGAUUUUAAUUUAUUACGCCACAUGUUAAUGUGUAGUUAUAUGAUGCUAUGUCUAUAUGAUGUGGGUAGGAAGGUAACUGAGUAGGCAGUGACAGGAGUGUAACUUGACUUGCCUCCCCUAGGCCCUACUACUUCUUGUAUUUUAACAUGUUAGGAUUUUAAUUUUAAAUUUUCCAUUUGUUUAUUACUUGAUGCA